UACAGAGGGUGCAAGCGUUAAUCGGAAUUACUGGGCGUAAAGCGUGCGUAGACGGUUACAUAAGUCGGGUGUGAAAGCCCCGGGCUCAACCUGGGAAUUGCAUUCGAGACUGCGUAGCUAGGGUGCGGAAGAGGGAAGCGGAAUUUCCGGUGUAGCGGUGAAAUGCGUAGAUAUCGGAAGGAACACCAGUAGCGAAAGCGGCCUCCUGGUCCAGCACCGACGUUCAGGCACGAAAGCGUGGGGAGCAAACAGG
rnacentral:rRNA from 1 species